UACAAAUAAACUAACAAACCAAAAUUGUAAUCAAAGAAAUUACACAUAAUAUCUCUUAACUGCAUCAGAAUUGAUAUCCAUGUCAAUUCAUCUUCCUUCGAUAUGCCUCAGGCACAAAGCGCCAUUGGAUAACACUCGGGUCACAAUAUACGGCCCUUGCCAAUUUGGGCAAACUUGCCUUUUGCCUCGAUAUGAUGUGGUAGGAUUCGUUUCAAUAAUUGUUGCCCUACUUAAAAUUUCUUGGGGCACACCUUCUUAUUGUAUGCCCUUUCCAUUCUUUUAUGAUACAACUGGCCAUGGCAUACUGCUGCCAAUCGUUUUCAUCGAUUAAGCUUAGCUGCUCCAAUCGGGCUUUGACCCAUUUAUCAUCAUCAAUCCCGGCCUUAGCGACAAUUCAGAGGGAUGGAAUUUCAACUUCGGAUGGUAUUACUGCUUCAGUUCCGUAUACCAAUAAGUAAGGAGUCGCACCUACUGAAGUGCGAACAGUAGUGCGAUAACCCAACAAUGAAAAUGGCGAUUUCUCAUGCCAUUGUUUGUAUCCUUCCACCAUCUUUCUC
rnacentral:lncRNA from 1 species